GAGAAAAUCCCAAGCAGUCUCCGCAGGGUCAGCGCAGAGCCCAAUAUGGGGCUCGAUCGGACGAAACUGUGAGAUCAUGACCUGAGCCGAAAUCAGAAUCAGGAGUCGAAUGCUUAACUGACUGAGCCACCCAGGCACCCCAACACUGACAUUGCUUUCUAAACUAAGAAAGAACAAGGUGGUAUCUCCUAUGUUAGAAGAAAGACUGCAAUCCUAGCUUACUUGUUCUUUAGAACGUAUCAGAAAAAGGGUUGCCCUAUGGAGAAGCGAUCAAAAACCAUGACACCAAAGUAAAUUUUUUUAAAUUAAAAAAAAAAAAAGAGAAGUGUUGUACGUUUGGCAGGCAAUACAGGAAAGCAUUAUUUUCUGGGUUUUGUAAUGUCGCCAAUAUUUAGACUUUUUCUUAACGCCACAGUUUGCCACUUUUGAACCGACAUUUGUUUUUGCAGUUUUAAUUUUUUCCUCAAAGCGGUCUUCAAAUUUGUGGCAGUUUCAGACCCCGUGAAAUGUAGAUUGGCACUUGUGGCCAGGCAUCAACUCAUCCUGUCCCCACCCCUACCCCUCAGCCACCUGGGCACCUGGGAUCUUGUGGGCCCCAUAGUCCCAGGUGCCCCCAAAAGGGCAAUACACAUGUGCCCAAUGAAUGGAUAAAUGUUUUGUUAUUAUUGGUGGUUGUCAUUAUUACUGUUAGCAACAAAAAGGAGAGGAAGAGGUUCCUGACAUUUUGUUGAGGAAGUUAGGACGAGGGUGGCUUUGAACUUGUAACACUAAGUUGGAAGCUGAACUUGCACACCUGUGGGAUAUACUCUGGAGCAGAAGCACUAAAGACAGUGCCUACAUUCCGAAUCGUCCACCUUCAUCUUUGGAUAAGCCUGCUCCCGAGGACUCUGAUGGAGAGGGCCAGGAGGGAGAAAAGUCACAGGCGCCUCAGGGAUGUGGGAAUCUCCGGAAGCCACUGGAGGCCACUCUGUAGGUGUGGCCUGGGAGCCCAGAGGCUGCUGACUGGAUUCCUGCUUCCCAGGAGCUGCCUCCUGACUCCCCUGGAUGCUGCAGCUGUCCCCUGAGGUCCCCAGAACCCAUCAUGAUACACAGCGCAUGGCGGGAAUUUGAUACGAAUUUGCUGAUUGAAUCCAUGGCACCCUUUGAGAUGCGGUUCUGUUGGUUUUGAAUGUCUGUGGUCUUCAAGAUCCGCUACAACCGAGACUCUUCACCGAGGGUCUAGGAAGCCCCUGAAACUGGAUGUAAACUACAGGCUCACGUGUGCUUUUCAGGGGGAGGCAUCUACAGAACUCACCAUAUUCUCUAUACUGUUUAAGGCCCCCAAGAAAUCGAGAAACACUGGGAAAAACGAAGAAGCAUGUGCCACUGGGAAAGUCAUCCUAAACCACUGUUUUACAGAGAGCGGCACUCCAGGGGCGGGAGGAGCCUUGGGAUGGUCCAGUGGGGCUAAGCCGACAGACCCAAACAGAUGCCUGAGGACCCAGACAGAUGCCUGGAUGGGAAAAACGUGAGGUCCCAGGACAUCGUCUGUCCUGCACUUUCCCUGGGAUGGACCACAAAAAGUCUUCAGACUUAAGUGCUUAUUGUAUAACCAAUACCUGUUCAUUUAUCCGUCACUGACUGAGGGCUCAGUCUGUGCCAAGCUCUGUGCUAGAUGCUGGGGACAUGUGGGGGCUAGGUUCCCAGGAGAGGGGACACAGUGAGUCUGUCUUAUUUAUCUCCAUUCUCUCAGCUCUGGCUGCUGUCCAGCACAUAGAAGGCACUCAAUCAUUAGCCACUGCCUUAGACAAUGGGACAGAAAAGUGGUUCAGUCUCUGGUGUUUGGAACCUAGGAACCUCGGUUCGAAUCACAGCCUGUCCACUCACGUGCCGUGUGACUCUGGGCAGGUCGCGUCACCUCUCUGAGGUUCAGUUUCCUGGAAUGUAGGGCAGGAACUAACUUCAGGGGGCCUGGGGGUGGUUAAGAAGCUGACGGGCGAAAAGAGCCUGACUCAGGCUGAGCGCCUUUCCAGCUCUAGCUCUUGGAGUUAAUAUUGUCAUCUUGAUGUCAGGGAGCCCAGGCAAACACUCGGAUCUCCACUCACCUUGCAGGGAAUGGGGAGGACUCCCCAGAUCACCUCCAUGCCUCGUCCACACGAGGACCUAGGGAUCAGAAAUGGGGGUGUUGUAAGGGACGGUAGAGCAGCAUCUAGUGGAAGGGAAGGACAUUUGGAAGAGAAAGUUUCAGAGGCUGGGACAGAGGUUGGCACAGAAGCCAGGAAUGUGACCAGCAUGAGCUGGUGGCCUCAGCACAGGAGGUUAGACAAGGUCCCCUUAACGGGACCCAAGACUCAGGGCCAGUGCCGGAACAGCCUUCUCCCGGCCUCCCUCCCUCCUGGCCUCCCCAGGUGCUGGGUCUCCGGGUCCGCGGGCUCAGAGGCCCAUCUGCCCUGUUCUGCUCCGUCUGUACUGUGUCCAGCUAAGGGCACUGCCUCCGCUGCCCCCACGUCCCCAGCGCUCAGGAUGCCCGGGCAGGAGAGGGCUCUGUGCAGGGCGCAACUGGGCGUCUCCAUGGCUCUGGGCCGCCCGUCAGCAGCUGGGCCUGCGUCCCUCUGGACACCAGGUCCUUCCUUGGGGUUCUGGCUCUGCUGGUCUCUGCAGGAAUGUUCAAGAAUGCUGUCCCUUCCCCUUUCCCCACCACCCCCUGCCCUCCCUCACACCCCUGCCCACAGCCCUUCCCCUCUGCCUUCUGCCAAAAGAAUGCAGAACGAAGCAGCGUUCUCUCCUGGCCUGGUCUGCCUGGGAGAGUGGUGAGAAGAGACAGUUCUCUCAGGUUCAUGAAGUAAACAUUUGGUAGCAGAGGUCGUGAGGGUCUGGGGCUCCUUCGGGAAAUCCUGGAGUGGGGUCACAGGCUGUGGGUAAGGAGUGGACCGUCUAGGAGGCGAUGGGACUCUGUCCCCUGUCCCUGCAGGGUCUAGGGACGGAUGAGGAGUCCUAGAGCCCGGAUUUGGGGGAAAAGGAAGGAGCAGGGAAGGUGCCCCCUCAGAGCCAGUACAACCCCUCCCUGAGUCAGGCGGGCCUUAGCCCAGACUGCUUGGAUGGUUACUCAGACCAACAGUCAGUGAAACACUGAGAGUCCCAGACUUCAUUCGAUAAACCACCAAAGCACCAGCCCAACAGGCCACGUUCCCAGUUGACUCACAUUAGCUGCUCAGCCAGGGGUGGCCAGUUGAAGGGAACCUAAUUCUUGGUAGAGCCGUCGUGUGACGGUUGGUUUGGGACGUCCUGGCUUCUGAGUCAGCUUGGGAGCCAAGCAGACGCCUGGCCACUGACGGUGCUCAGCUGGCCAUUGGGGAAGGCUCCACACGAGGUGGCUUAUGGUGUGAAGGUGUGGGUAAGGAUGUGCACGGCUGGGCUCCUUCCCCUGCUCCUUCAGUGGGGCUUGGUUUGGGGAAAACAGUGUCAUGUUUUGGGUCAGGGAUUGAUAGACCCAGAGAAGAGGCUGAGCUGCGAUUCAGGCCGCUGUUCUGGCUCAGACGCCUCCUCCAGGAGGAACGUUGGGGCAGGAGGAGUUGAGGAUUGGAGGGAGGGAAGCCCUUGGUUCAGGAGUCAAGGGCAUGAUCCAAUGGACUUGCUUGGGGCUUCAGGGAUCUCUGUCUCCGGGAACCCGUUGCAUUCCUGUCCCAGAUCCAUCACUCAUCGGUGUUGUGAAUCUCUGAAGGUCUCUAAGGUUCCAUGCCGGCAACUGUAAGAUAGGGGUCCCCGGGCCCUGCUCUGAAGCAGGCUCCAGGCUCUGAGCUGUCAGCCCAGAGCCUGACGCGGGGCUCAAACCUAGGCAUUGUGAGAUCACGACCUGAGCUGAAGUCAGGACACUUAACCGACUGAGCCACCCAGGCACCCGUAUCUGCUGGGUUUUUUAAGUGCACACUGCGAGAUCCUGGAGCGCACGAUCAGCUGGUGGACAGGAGAUCAACAGUUUGAACUGUGAAUAAGUCAUUACUACUUUCGCUGUGAUCUUCUGCCGGCCAGGUGCCCACUAGCUCUUAUUGUGUGAAUGCAUUUCCCAGAGUGGUGUGAGAUGGAUGUGGAAGGACAAUGUGUUCCUCAUCUAAGAAGACACACACCUCACCCCCAGCAGCGGGUAGCAAAAACAGCAUCCUGCCGCACCCCAGGGUGCACCCCGCAAACAAACCAAUGGAAGGUGCUGUGGAAAUUCAAUCAUCAAGCAAAUUCAAUACUGAUGGAAGUUUAUUCAGUGUACCCGUAUAACGGAAAAGGGAUUGAUGGAUUUCACGCAGGAUGAUCUGACAGUGUAUAUCAUGGAUGGCACAUGCAGUUUCCACGGUGGGGAGAGUGUCAGUUGGGAGUUUGUUACCAACAGAUACCUGAGUCAAGAGGGCACUCAAAAAUGACAGCAUCCAUUCCAAACUGGACAGCAGUGAACAUCUUGGCAUUUCUCUUCCUUGGAAAAGAAUUUUAUAAUUGCCAAUCAAAAUGGACCUGAGACCUACCGUCCAGGAAAAGUUGGUGCCUUUUGGCAUAAGUACACUUGCUCUACUCUUGCUUUUGGGUUCCCUUGAGUCGACUGCCUUUUCCCAUCUGGUUUUCUAGACUCACCAAGAGAACAAAAGCCCCAUGCAAGCAGAAUACAGUAUGACCUGAC